UCAGAGGAAUGUUUUCGGAACCGAAAACAGUUCCAUUCCCUGAACGUGCAGGCGGUCUGUGAUGUAAACAUGAGAUUUUUGAACAUUUUUGUGGGAUUUCCUGGAUCAUCUCACGACUCCUUCAUCCUAAGCCAGUCAUCGCUGUUUGACAAGUUUGAAACAGGAAACAUGCCUGGUGGCUGGCUGUUAGGCGAUGCGGGUUAUCCAAACAAACCGUGGCUGUUGACCCCAUUGUCUAAUCCUGUUGGUAGAGCAGAAAAACGUUACCAAGAGACACACAUUGCAUCGAGGGGAGUAAUUGAGCGUGCCUUCGGUGUACUUAAAAGCCGGUUUCGAUGUUUAGACACUUCCGGUGGUGCUCUUUUGUACUCACCGUCGAAGGUUUGCGGCAUGGUAAAUGCAUGUUGUAUUUUACACAACAUAUGUGUCGCAAACCGUUUGCCGGUGACUCUUCGUCGCAGUGCUUUCCGACGCGGGAACCGGUCUUCUGCUCUACCGGUGGGUAUGGACGAAGGAGAGGAUUCCCGGCGGACAUUGAUCCAAAAUUAUUUUGCAGUUGCCUAGUUUUACAUCCUGUUGAUGUAUAUCCCCAGGCCAUGUUUGUACAGUUCGUUACCCCGUUUUAUCCUGUUGUUGGGUUCCCGCAAAUAUUUGAUCCUUUUAUCCAACUCUACCAUGGGUGAACCUACUGGUGAUGUGGACCUGACCCUCCGCCAUGUAGCAGACAACCCCCCUCAGGUCCUGCGAUGUAUCUUCCCAAGUGGCGUGGAUGUGAGGAGACACGACAUUUCACCUGAUGUUCCAUGGGUGACCCUACUGGUGAUGUGGACCUGACCCUCCGCCAUGUAGCAGACAACCCCCCUCAGGUCUUCCGGUGUAUCCUUCCUAAGUGGUGUGGAUGUGAAGAGACAGUUCCCUUGAUGUUCCCUGGGCAAUCUACUUACGUACAAUUCAAAUGCAUUACAAAUUUUAAUAAAAACCACAGGAAACUUCUAUUUUUAAAAGUUUAUU